rnacentral:rRNA from 1 species
GGAGGAUCAUUCGCAAUGGGCGAAAGCCUGACGAUGCGACGCUGCGUGGAGGAUGAAGGCCUUCGGGUCGUAAACUCCUGUCAUGAGGGAAGAGGAGAGUGUCACUAACAUUGACGCGAUUUGACGGUACCUCAAGAGGAAGCCACGGCUAACUCUGUGCCAGCAGCCGCGGUAAUACAGAGGUGGCGAGCGUUGUUCGGAUUUACUGGGCGUAAAGGGCGCGUAGGCGGCCGCGUGUGUCGGGUGUGAA